ACCCGCUGAACUUAAGCAUAUCAAUAAGCGGAGGAAAAGAAACUAACAAGGAUUCCCCUAGUAACGGCGAGUGAAGCGGGAAGAGCUCAAAUUUGUAAUCUGGCGGUCUCAGGCCGUCCGAGUUGUAGUCUGGAGAAGUGUUUUCCGCGUCGGACCGUGUACAAGUCCCUUGGAACAGGGCGUCAUAGAGGGUGAGAAUCCCGUCUUUGACACGGACUGCCGAUGCUUUGUGAUGCGCUCUCGAAGAGUCGAGUUGUUUGGGAAUGCAGCUCAAAACGGGUGGUAAAUUCCAUCUAAAGCUAAAUAUUGGCGAAAGACCGAUAGCGAACAAGUACCGUGAGGGAAAGAUGAAAAGCACUUUGGAAAGAGAGUUAAACAGUACGUGAAAUUGUUGAAAGGGAAACGAUUGAAGUCAGUCGCGUCUCCCGGGACUCAGCCUUGCUUCUGCUCGGUGCAUUUCCUGGGGUGACGGGCCAGCAUCAAUUUCGACCGUCGGAGAAAGGCUGGGGGAAUGUGGCACCUUCGGGUGUGUUAUAGCCCUCGGUCGUAUGCGACGGUUGGGAUUGAGGAUCGCAGCACGCCUUCAUGGCCGGGGUUCGCCCACGUAACGUGCUUAGGAUGCUGGCGUAAUGGCUUUAAACGACCCGUCUUGAAACACGG
rnacentral:rRNA from 1 species